GACGAACGCUGGCGGCGUGCUUAACACAUGCAAGUCGAACGGAAAGGCCCCUUUGGGGGUACUCGAGUGGCGAACGGGUGAGUAACACGUGAGUAACCUGCCCUUGACUUCGGGAUAACUUCAGGAAACUGGGGCUAAUACCGGAUAGGAAUCCUUGCUGCAUGGUGGGGGUUGGAAAGCUUCGGCGGUUUUGGAUGGACUCGCGGCUUAUCAGCUUGUUGGUGGGGUAGUGGCUUACCAAGGCUUUGACGGGUAGCCGGCCUGAGAGGGCGACCGGCCACAUUGGGACUGAGAUACGGCCCAGACUCCUACGGGAGGCAGCAGUGGGGAAUAUUGCACAAUGGGCGGAAGCCUGAUGCAGCAACGCCGCGUGCGGGAUGACGGCCUUCGGGUUGUAAACCGCUUUCAGCAGGGGCGAAGCUUGUGGUGACGGUACCUACAGAAGAAGCACCGGCUAACUACGUG
rnacentral:rRNA from 1 species